GUUGGUUUACAACUGUCAAAGAUCUGUCCGAUUAGGAUGAAAACCAAAAUUGUGCGAUGUAGCCGACUAACCUAACCGAAGUCGAAAGUCCUGAGGUGAUAAGAUAUUAAAACAGAUUACUGUGGCCAUAUAAAUAACGACAGUCGUGGAUAUUUUAGAAGCAUCAGUUGUCUUUUUCAUCUGUUUAUUUUUCAUUUAUAAAGUAGUGUUCGCAAUGGAGGUAAUUGUUAAGCUAAAUUCCCAAACAGCCGGCCGCGAUAAACUUGUUAGGUUACUGCAGUAUACAAGCAAAUUCGCUUGGCAUUAUAUGCAGGAAAAGCAGCGUAGCAAACAGUCAGUAGAUCGAUUAAAGGAUCUGGAAUACACAUUUAGUUCUUUCAGAAAAUUGUUGCGUUUGGGCAGGUGUUUGGAUGUGCUUUACGGGGCUUUGUCAUCUGUGCAAUAUCCUGAUUUGACCCUGAGGAUAACUUGUACACUGUCCAGAAUUGCUAAUGCCUUGUACUUGUUGGCUGACCAUAUUCUUUGGUUUGGCAGAACAGGCAUGUUAAAUAUCAACAGUGCCAAAUGGAAUCAAGUUGCAAAUAAGUAUUGGCUGUACUCUAUUGUCAUGAAUUUAGUGCGGGAUGUUUAUGAGAUACUGCAGAUUGUGAAAUAUGAGACUCAUAACUGUAUAGGACUUAAACGCAUGGGUAGCCCUGAUUACUACAGAAAGCCUGCAACAGAUAAACUCUCUUUAAUUAAGUUUGUGCAAGAACACAAGGAUGUUGUUAUUGACACAGUGAAAAAUGGUUGUGACUUCUUUAUUCCAAUGUCUGCUCUGGGCUAUAUCAGAUUAAAUCCUGGUACAGUUGGUGUACUUGGUGUGAUUUCUUCAGUGGCGGCUAUCAUAAGUCUCGUCGAUCCUUUCGCCCGGCUUUCACCAGCAUAACUCAGUGCGGGUGGAUUCCACAGAAGUAUGGUAUUACAGAAGAUACUCGAGAUUUUUAAGUAAAAGGGGCUUCUAACAAGAGCCCUGAUGCUAACAGUUACCAGGCUGUAGAUAACAAGCACCUAGGUAUUGCUGUUUGAAGCAGUCAGUGGCAGUUGUGGAGAAGCAGGGGAGCUCGAUGAUGCCUUUGUACCAGAAUACAUAAAUCCACUCUGAACCCAAGACAAGGGAAAUAAUUUGUGUGUGUAUUGUGACUAUAUAUCACAAUUGAAGCAAAAAAUUUUAAGAAGUAAAUGUUCUAGGAAACAAGUGCAAGAAUUCAAAGAUACAGAAAAAUACUUCAGAUAAAUGUGUGGUUAUCUACUUCACCGCCCAUUUCUGUGGGAUUCGCAUGUUAUGUUCACCCACUCUGUGUUUAGUUCCAGGCCUAUAACUGUCAAUGUGAACCUUGCGUUUUGUUAUGAAGGUGUGAUGGUAUACCUCAAACAACAACAACAACAGCAACAGCAACAACAUGCUGGCAGUAUAUAACAACUUGGAACACAGAAUGGUUGAGAUGCUGCCCACAGGAAAGUUAGAGAGGAGGAAAAAAAUGAUUUUAAAUCAUUCAGUGUUAUUUAAUAGGUAACUUAAGCCAUUGAAUUGUAUAUGUACAGAAGUUUCCAAAGUGGAAAACUAUAUAAUAAUUAACAUUACAUUGUCACUAUAGGCUGUGAAGUGUUUGCCAUCCAACUGUAAUACAUCAUGUUAUAAAAAAAAUUGUAGAAGAGUAUUUUUAAUGGGAAUUCCUUAUGGUGGUUCAUACAUUACCAUGCUCCACGUCUCAAGUUGCCACAGUUUGUUAUGACUUGACUUGGGGGACUGUUAUACAUACGGCAAAUGGCUACUCUUGUUUGUGUUGAAUUUAAUUUGUUGUGAGUUGGUUAUAUAAAUUUUUAAUUCAUGGCCUAUAUGAAAUUAUCCAGAGACCCUUUUACAUUAACUGCUGAAUCAAGUUGUGGAUGUAUUUUGGAGUUCAAGAAUGCUUGCCAUUUAAUACUGACAUUCAAUCAAAGAAAGAUCAUUACCCAUUCUAUAAAUAUGACAACUAUUAAUGGAUGUGGAAUAUAUUACUGACUGUGCUUUAAUAUUUCGUAAUUGAUUAUGUCAGCUUCUGCAAUUGUAUCCUUGAACUUACAUACUUUGUCUUUACUGUGUUUAGGAGCUGCUCUUUCCUCUGUAAGAAAAGUGAAAGUCUCCUUGCAAUAUUCAGUAAAUCAACUAACAUUACUAUGUAUUGUACAAAAAUAUUGUUCAGAAAAUUAUCAAGACAACGAAGACUGCAGUACUACAUCCAGGAAGUGUAAAUCCCAGCACUGUCAAUAGGCACAAGUGUAGAUCACAGCAGUCAAAGCUUUUUCAAUAGCAGGUAGCUGUCGUAAAAGUGUGUACUCGUAGCUUGGGAUUUAAAUGACCUGAUAGGCCUCACCUUCCUUCAUAUUCAAUUUAAACUCCCCAAGCAAUAUCUCUUUCCUGCACAAGGACAAUUUCAUUAGGGGGGGAAAAAUAAGAAUGCUGUACUCUACUUUUGUAUGUCGUUUUUGGCAGUACUAGAAGUUGCACGUCUUGGAAUGUAAAUACUGGCCAGCCUUUCUCAUUCUGUGUGUCAGAGCGAGCGAGCGAACACACACACACUCUCUCUCUCUCUCUCUCUCUCUCUCUCUCUCUCUCUCUCUCUCUCUCUCUCUCUAUCCUAAAUCAGCUAAUUUAAUUUUUGCGAUUUUCCACUGUUUCACCAAAAUUAUGACAGUUUAUACUGUUUUUUUUUUUUAAUUACACUACAUAAAUGUACAAGCAUGAGAAGUGUGUGUACAUUCAUGCAUAUGUGCACAGAAAAUGUUGAUGUUUUUUAAUGUUUUAAUCAAUAAAAUAUGACAUUCCACUCAU